UAUAAAUCAAAAUCCCAGUCGAAUCUCGAUCCGCCCCCGCCCAGACUUACCACCGGUGGCUACAGGUAGGAGACGGCGCCCUUGAGCGGGCGCCGGCGGCAGCCAGAGCGAGGGAGCGGGCGACGGAAGCGGCAAUGUUCCCCGGUUAACCUGUAGCUUCGAGGCCGCCUCGCGCGAGUGAGCGAUGGUGGAGCAAGGAAGUGUGCGGCGGUAGCAGCGACGACUCCCCGCUUAUCUGUAGCUUCAGGGCCGCCUCGUGUGAGCGAGCGACGGCGAUAACCGGAGCAAGGGAGUGCACGGCGGCAGCGGCGGCGAUUCCCUGGUUUUCCUGUUUUUUCUGAGGCCUCCUCGCGCUAGCCAACGGCGGAUUUCGAGCGAUGGAAUCGAGCGAUAAGACUGCAGCAGCUGCUGGGCGCACGACAGGGAUGAAGCCAGCGACAUCAACAGCUGACUUGGGUACGAUUCCCUUAACAUACCAACUUGGGGACGAACUCCGCCGCACCUACAUCAGUCCUAGCCGGCGUCAAGCUGCCACACGGACGCGGAGUGGAGGACCGGGACCCCAGAUGGCCACGACAUGGUCCUUUAGCCCUGCUUCACUGGGGCGUGGUCUUUCAGCGUCGAGCAGCCUCAGCUGGGAGGCAUUGAGGGGCGCGUGGCUCUGGUGUUGCGCGUCGGCGGCGGCAGCCGGCAUCGGCAAAGCGCCGGCAAGGACGUCUCAUCAUCGAUGAUGCUGUCCAUUGCCAGAGUAAACCGGGUUUGUCGGACGCAGGCUCGUGCAGAAGCUUCUAUCAGCGGGUAGCAACUAGCAAGCAGUUAAUUGGAGUUUAACAAGCAACCGUUAUCCAAUAGUUUCAUUUGGAGCUUAACAGGCAGCAUUCAACAAGCAGUUUUUCCUUCGGAUGCAGUUAUCUACAGAAACAAAAAUGAUGUGUGACUCGUUAGUAAAUUUGAUCUAAAUCACUAAAUGAGCUGAAUAGGUAAGAUUCUGUUUAUUUAGUGAAAAGAAUGCGAGCGUACAGUGUGUUUUCGACCCUCCUAGGGGCUCUAACCCGUGCUUUAUGUAUUACUCCCUCUGUUCCUAAAUAUUUGUCUUAUUUUAGUUUACACUGCUAACUGCAUGCUGCCGACUAUGCUAGCUGCUUCUGCUUUUUUAGAAACAACAUGCUGCUGCUUUUAUUUGUGGUCGUCACUGGUACUGCUUCUGCUUCUCUUUUGUUUUGUUGUCUUCUUUCUUUUGACUUCAUUCUUUGCCUCGCGAGAAUAACAAUUAGCAUCUUCAAUCGGGCAGUUAACUUGUUCUUAACUGUGGCAGUCCCCGAAGUUAGCUAUUUUUUGGCCCCGUAGUUAGCAUGACCGAGGUGGAAAAAAUAUAAAAAAUAUUAGUACCUUCAGUCUGGCAGUUAAAUGGUUGCUGCAGUUGCAACAGUUAGCUCUUUCAGUGUCGGCAGUUAGCUUGACCCAGGGAAAAAACGAAAGAAAAAAAAAUAGUGUCUUAAGUCCCGACAGUUAGCUUUGUCAACAUAUGUCAGUUAGCUAUUCCGGUCGGGCAGUUAGUGUGUACUGUAGCAGUUCGGGAAAACAAUGUCGAAAAUGAUGUUCGUUUUUUGAAAACUGCUUCUAAACUGUAAUAAAUCUGAAAAGGUGUUACAUAUGCCAAAGUUCGGUCUACUCGGUACCUUUCUAACAGUAUAUCAUAUGCAUCAUUCCGACAAAAAAAUUGAAAAUUCCUUUCACAAAAACAUUAAAAAUUCGUUUGAUGGAUUUUUAGUUUUUUGAUUUUUUUAAACCGGAUUGAUUUUGGGAAAACAUGAUAUAUUUUUUCUCCUUCUCAAUAGCUAUCCAACGGU